rnacentral:misc_RNA from 1 species
AACGGUCUAUACCUGCGGUACCUGCGGAGGGAUCAUUAACAAAAAUGGGAUUCUUAUAAUCUGUGUGCACGUGUGUGUGUAUGGUUUGUAAGGUGUGCUUCUGAUCGCGAUCAGAUCGGUCAGACCGGCCAGACCGAUCAGUGGCACCCUUACCCUCCUCUCCUUAGCCGUCGGCUAGAGAAACCUGUCUGACAUACCAACUGACCAUCCCCGUGACCACACCGGUCCGGGAUCCAAUAA